UCGAGAAUAAUUCGCAAUGGACGAAAGUCUGACGAUGCGACGCCGCGUGAAUGAUGAAGGCCUUCGGGUCGUAAAGUUCUGUCGCCCUAGAGCAAGAUUGAGGGGGUAAUAUCCCCUCAUGAUGAGAGUAUAGGGAAAGGAAGCACCGGCUAAUUCCGUGCCAGCAGCUGCGGUAAUACGGAAGGUGCAAGCGUUAGUCGGAGUUAUUGGGCGUAAAGGGUGCGUAGGCGGCUCAUUAAGUUGGAUGUGAAAUACUGGGGCUCAACCCCAGCUCGGCAUUCAAAACUGGUGAGCUCGAGGGAUGGUGGAGAAAACGGAAUUCCAUGUGUAGCGGUGAAAUGCGUAGAUAUAUGGAAGAACACCUGUGGCGAAAGCGGUUUUCUAACCUCCCCCUGACGCUAAGGCACGAAAGCAAGGGGAGCAAACAGG
rnacentral:rRNA from 1 species